ACACUCUGGUUUCCCUUCAGAUCGUAUAAAUCUUUCGCCUUUUACUAAAGAUUUCCGUGGAGAGGAACAUUCAACCAUGUACAUUUACUUUGUUCUGUAACAGUAAUACCAACGAUGGUUU